AAAGAGUUGCGAUACCGUGAGGUGGAGCCAAUCUCAUAAAGCCGGUACUCAGUUCGGAUUGGAGUCUGCAACUCGACUCCAUGAAGUUGGAAUCGCUAGUAAUCGCGGAUCAGCAUGCCGCGGUCGAAUACGUUCCCGGGCCUU
rnacentral:rRNA from 1 species